rnacentral:rRNA from 1 species
AAGCGGAGGAAAAGAAACUAACAAGGAACUUCCYCUAGUAGCGGCGAGCGAAGCGGGAAGAGCUCAAAUUUAUAAUCUGGCGCUUUCAGCGUCCGAGUUGUAAUCUCUAGAAGUGUUUUCCGCGUUGGACCGCACAUAAGUCUGUUGGAAUACAGCGGCACAGUGGUGAGACCCCCGUUCACGGUGCGGAUGCCCAAUGCUUUGUGAUACACUUUCGAAGAGUCGAGUUGUUUGGGAAUGCAGCUCAAAUUGGGUGGUAAAUUCCAUCUAAAGCUAAAUAUUGGCGAGAGACCGAUAGCGAACAAGUACCGUGAGGGAAAGAUGAAAAGCACUUUGGAAAGAGAGUUAACAGUACGUGAAAUUGUUGGAAGGGAAACGCUUGAAGUCAGACUUGCUAUUCGGGGCUUGCUCCGAGUUGCAGGCCAGCAUCAGUUUUUCGGGGCGGAAAAUCACGGAUUGAAGGUAGCAGUUUCGGCUGUGUUAUAGCUUUCCGUUGGAUACGUCCUGGGGGACUGAGGAACGCAGUGUGCUUUUAGCGAGGGCUUCGGCUCUUUCACACUUAGGAUGCUGGUGGAAUGGCUUUAAACGACCCGUCUUGAAACCACGGACCA